AUACGUAGGGGGCGAGCGUUGUCCGGAAUGAUUGGGCGUAAAGGGCGCGUAGGCGGCUUUGCAAGUCAGUAGUGGAAGUCCAUUUUUCAAGGAUGGAAGUGCUACAGAAACUGCGGAGCUUGAGUGCAGGAGAGGUUAUCGGAAUUCCCGGUGUAGCGGUGAAAUGCGUAGAGAUCGGGAGGAACACCAGUGGCGAAGGCGGGUAACUGGACUGCAACUGACGCUGAGGCGCGAAAGUGUGGGGAGCAAACAGGAUUAUAUACCCUGGUAGUCCACACUGUAAACGAUGAAUGCUAGGUGUAGGAGGUAUCGACCCCUUCUGUGCCGCAGUAAACACAGUAAGCAUUCCGCCUGGGGAGUACGGUCGCAAGAUUAAAACUCAAAGGAAUUGACGGGG
rnacentral:rRNA from 1 species